AAGAGACCUUUAAGACAGCUGGUCAUUAUGCCGACCGGGUGUGCGCGCUAAGUUCCGUAUCAAUAUGGUGACCUCCUGGGAGCAGGGGGCCAUCAGGUUGCCUAAGGAUGGGAGAACUGGCCCAGGUCAGAAAGGGACCAGGUCAGGACUCCCGCACCAAUCGGUAGCGGGACUGUGCCUGGGCAGUAUAGCAAGAUCUUGGUUCUU
rnacentral:SRP_RNA from 1 species